UGAGCAAUCUGCCCUUCUCUUCGGAAUAAGCGUUGGAAACGACGUCUAAUGCCGAAUACGACCUCCUUUCGCAUGAUCGGAGGUGGAAAGCUCCGGCGGAGAAGGAUGAGCUCGCGGCCUAUCAGCUAGUUGGUGUGGGUAAUGGCCCACCAAGGCGACGACGGGUAGCCGGCCUGAGAGGGUGACCGGCCACACUGGGACUGAGACACGGCCCAGACUCCUACGGUAGGNAGCG
rnacentral:rRNA from 1 species